rnacentral:lncRNA from 1 species
AUUAGUUGUUGAUAUGGACCUUUAUUUUAUUCAUUUAUUUAUAUGUGGUGCUGAGAAUCAAACUCAGUGCCUCACACAUGCUAGGCAAGCACUUUACCACUGAGCUACAACCCCAGCCCCAGGAAUUUAAUUUAAUGAUUUUCAUGUAUGUUAUUUGGCAGAAGUUUAAAUUGUGCAUCACUUCCUUGGAGUGUUUGCUUGAGUUGUACCUUCACAGGGACACCUUCUAAAAUGACAUCUCUUCAUCAUCUUCAUAUAUCCUUUUGUGCAUUGUCUCAAUAAAAUAAAAAAUAUUUUUUAAAAAUUAAUAUCUGAAAUACUACAUUUUUGUUUCUUAAUCUAUUUAUAUUUUUGAGUGUGGUGUUGGGGGUGAAACCUAGGACCUCACACAUGCUAAGCACAUGUUCUACCACUGUGCUACAUCCCUACCCCUGAAAUACUAUAAUGUAAAAUAUUUGUUUAUGGUAUAUCUUUCCAUAUAUACUCCUCCAUUAUUGCAUAAGCUUCCUAAGAGGGCAGGAAUAUUUCUUUGUUCUUCCCACUAUUAUAAAAUCUAGAACAGUUCCCAGGCUAUAAUGAGUAUUCAUUAGUGAUUUGGUUAGUAUGUGGAUUUUUCCAUAGGAAAUCAUCAUGAACGAGAGAAAAGAUUUCAAUCAAGGAUGACAAGGACCACAAAAAAGGGAUUUUAUUGACUUUUAGUUAUAUAACUGCUUUUCUAAAAAUUUUGACUGAAUAAAUUAACUAGACUAGAUAAGAAUUUUCCUUUCAGGCCAGGCAUGGUGGUGCACACCUAUAGUCCCAGGAACGUAGGAGACUGAGACAGGAGGAUUGCUAGUUGUAGGCUAGCCUAGUAACUUAGUGAGAUCCUGCCUCAAAAUGAAAAAUAAAAAGAGUAGGGAUGUAGCUCAGUGGUAAAGCACCCCUGAGUUCAAUUCCCAGUACCAGCUAGUGGUGUAGCUCAGUAAUAGAGCAUGUGCUUAGCAUAUAGAAGGCCGAGGUUUCAAUCCCAAGUGUUGAAAAAAAUUCAUUGUAAAUGCCAUGUCAUAUUUUCUUUUAAGCAAAAUUCAUUAUACUUCAAAAUCUGUUAAUAUUUAGUCCUUUAAAAUUUUUCAUUUUGUGCAUUGUGCCAUGCAUAUUUGUACCUAGCUUUAAAAGACAGAAAAUGAAAACACUAAUAUUAUGUUGAUGACAAAGGUUGAAAAAGAACAAAAAAACUGGAAGGUUGCCUAUAGGCUCUACUGUUAUGGGUUAUUCUCAUUUAAUGCUCCAGCUUAUUACAAAUAUUACUUAAUCCCACCUCUAUGAGAUUACUUUCUAGCAUUUAAAUCUGGAUAUUCUUGGCUUAUAAAUUCUUGUCUAUGAAAGUUUUAUAGAAGUAAACCUUAUUUGUUUACUUAUUUACUAGAUAAAUAACUGUGGUAUAGCCCUCAUUGACUUGAGAACAAGAAAAUAAACUUUGAACAGAUGUUUUA